rnacentral:ncRNA from 2 species
GAACGUUGCUGGGGGCGCGAAUGUCGCUGAGAUAAGGCUUAUGCCUUAGUCCCUUUGAACCUGAUGCGGGUCAUGCCGACGAAGGGAAGCACUCUGAGCGAGAG